rnacentral:lncRNA from 1 species
UUGAUGUGUGAGCUGCACAGAAAGUUCACCAAACCACCCAAAGCCAUUGCCACAGGCAUCCGAACUGCAAGCCAGCACAAGAAGUUGAUGCUUUCAUACACUUUCCAAGAUGUCAGAACAAGAUUCCAAAUCAUAAUAAUAAGAUACACCAGGAUAAGAAGUCGAUGCUUUCAUACACUUUCCAAGAUGUCAGAACAAGAUUCCAAAUCAUAAUAAGAAUAUAUUCCUUACCUAGAAGUAAAAAAAGAGGACACACUUUUGAGCUGCUCACAUGACCACACCAUUCUGCGGGGACGUCCUUGUGUUGAGGGGAGGUCUGAAGUCCAUGGAAGAAGACGCAGUGGCCCCUGGAGCUCGUGUGGAGGAAGGGACCAUCAGAACUCCAAGCACAGAUGAACUGUUGGUGGCAGGAAAAAUGGUGGGCACAUUUCCAGAAUGACAAAUGGGAGAAGCAAUCGUGACAUCUCCAGGUGGGGGAAGCACAGGAAGAAGAGGUUGUUCUCUCAGGAAGUUGCCUCCUAGCCUCUGACGAGGCCUUUCCUAUCAC